rnacentral:rRNA from 1 species
UCGCUCUUCAACGAGGAAUCCCUAGUAAGCACAAGUCAUCAGCUUGUGUUGAUUACGUCCCUGCCCUUUGUACACACCGCCCGUCGCUACUACCGAUUGAAUGGCUUAGUGAGACCCUCGGAUUGGUAUUCAGAAGCUUUAACCGGCAUCCGUUUGCUGAGAAGUUGGUCAAACUUGGUCAUUUAGAGGAAGUAAAAGUCGUAACAAGGUUUCCGUAGGUGAACCUGCGGAAGGAUCAUUAAUGAUUUUUAAAGCGAGUCGUGCGUUAAGCGAGGCUUGCGAAAUAUUUAAAACCCCACUCUUUUUUAACUUUAAAAAAUAAAUCAUGAUACAUGAAUUUAAAAAAAAAGAUCACUUUCAACAACGGAUCUCUUGGCUCUCGCAUCGAUGAAGAACGCAGCGAAAUGCGAUAAGUAGUGUGAAUUGCAUAAUUUCGUGAAUCAUCGAAUCUUUGAACGCAAAUUGCACUCUCCGGUUUUCCGGGAGAGUAUGCCUGUUUGAGGGUCAGCCUAAAUAAAUUCGGCUUCGUUGCUGUUGUUUUCGCGGCAACGUUUUUAGUCGGGAUUUGGGUCAUCUUAAACCGAAAGGUUUUUAAGCGACUUAAAAUUUUUUUACGAUCCCACGAACGUUUCUAAGUACUUCUUACACGUUCAAGGUAUCGAAAACCCCUAUUAGGCGUGGCCGUCGUAUCGGAUCGCGUCCAUAAUAUUUAUUCUUUAACUGACCUCAGACAGGUAAGAAUACCCGCUGAACUUAAGCAUAUCAAUAAGCGGAGGAAAAGAAAAUAACAAUGAUUCCCUUAGUAACGGCGAGCGAAGGGGGAAAAGCUCAAAUUUUAAAUCUGCUAGGUCAUACCUAUCAGAGUUGUAGUUUGAAGAAACGUUUUCCGCGUCUCGGUUGGCCUAAAUCCUUUGGGAUAAGGUAUCAUGGAGGGUUAGAAUCCCGUCUGGCCGACCUUGUGAUGCUUUACGAUACGUUUUCUAAGAGUCGAGUUGUUUGGGAUUGCAGCUCAAAAUGGGAGGUAAAUUUCUCCUAAGGCUAAAUACCGGCGAGAGACCGAUAGCGAACAAGUACCGUGAGGGAAAGAUGAAAAGAACUUUGAAAAGAGAGUUAAAUAGUACGUGAAAUUGUUGAAAGGGAAACGAUUGAAGUCAGUCGUACUGGCGAAAAAUCAACUACUCGAGUGAGUACUUGUGGGCGUACGUGAGCUUCACGGCCGCGUUGUUUGCAAUGUUCGUGCUCUUGUGGUGUACUUUUUCGUAUGGUAGGUCAAUGUCGGUUUUGGACGCCAUAAAAUGAUCGGAGGAAUGUAGCUUCGACCUCGGUUGAAGUGUUAUAGCCUUUGGUAGAUGUGGUGUUUGGGACCGAGGAUUGCAACGAAUACCCUUUGGGCUAUCCGUCUGAUCUCUGUUGGUUAGCUGGGUGCCGAAAGCGUGCUUACGGUCAUCUAAGUUGACUGUCAAUAGGUUAGAACGUGAUUACAUUCGUUAAGGACGUUGACGUAAUGGCUUUAAACGACCCGUCUUGAAACACGGACCAAGGAGUCUAACAUAUAUGCGAGUGUUU